GUGAGGGACCCAGAGAAACAACUGGCAGAUGGCAAAAACAAGCAAAGAGAAGACUGCUUGCUACAGGCAGCGGGUCAAUGCAGACCCUACAGUAAGAGCCGACUAUCUUGCCAGGAAAAGAGAAAGCUACCAUAGAAGAAAACAACAGGGCAAGAUUCCAUAUUUGAAGUCGGAUGAGAUUUCAGAGAGGGAGGAAAAAAAACAGAGAGACAAGUGGAACGCUGCAUCCAGAGGUUACAGGGGAAGGAAAAAGAUGGAAAAGGCGAUGUUGGACCUGACACCUCCAUCCAUGGAGAACACUCCACCAGUUCUAGCUGGUGUAGAAGUAAUCCAAGAGCAAUGAUGGAGACACUUGGAGGGGCGUGAUUGGGAGGAACGGCCCCCCUGAUCUGAACCGGAGUGGUGGUUUGUUACUGGACUUC